GAUGGAAAAAUCAUGAGCAAUGGCCCUUCAUGCCUUCAGUCCUCAUGUGGAUUCAACAACUUUAUUAAAUUGCCUUCCAAUUGAUUUUGUGCACAGGAGAUCACCAUUAUUUUAGAUGAUAUCUAUGUCUUCUUCAGGAUCCAAUUAUGUGUUGAGGCAUCCAAAAGGCAAUCCAUUGAAUUUUUGAGAACCGAAACUGAGGAUGCGGUAUCGGGGUUGCACGAUAUAAUGCAAAAGUAGUUGAUUGCUUUUAGGAAAGCAAAGCAUGAGAAGGAUCAAAGCCUUGACAAGGAUGAAUAUUGAGGUUCCCUUCUUUGUUCUUUAUUACUAUUGUUUCAUAAUAAGGCUAUUAUUUAUUACUUGGCUAAUUAUAUUUGUCUUAGAUGCUAGCAAAGAAAAUAGAUAUGCUGAAAGCUAUUGAGGUUGAAGCUGAAGAGAAGGGAGGUAGCUGGAUCGAGAAAGAGAUAGCUACUAGGGUGUUAACAGAGAACAAGAAAACAUGGCUAAGAUUCUGAAUUGAAAUUUCUUGAGUGUGAGGAGCGGGUUGUAUCUUUAUGAUCCAUAAUUUCCAAGUGAGUUAGUUUUGAAGUUUCAACAACAAAUUUUGGAACAGAGAAAUUGUCGGUUUAUGUGGUAUUCCUAUGUUUUGCAUAAA